rnacentral:rRNA from 1 species
CCUACGGGUGGCUGCAGUAGGGAAUAUUGGACAAUGGGUGCAAGCCUGAUCCAGCCAUGCCGCGUGCAGGAAGAAGGCGUUAUGCGUUGUAAACUGCUUUUGCCAGGGGAUAAAAAAGGCGUGCGCGCUUAAUUGAAGGUACCUGGUGAAUAAGCCACGGCUAACUACGUGCCAGCAGCCGCGGUAAUACGUAGGUGGCAAGCGUUGUCCGGAUUUAUUGGGUUUAAAGGGUGCGUAGGCGGCCCUGUAAGUCAGUGCUGAAAUAUCCCGGCUUA